rnacentral:rRNA from 1 species
GUGUCAGCAGCCGCGGUAAUACAGAGGGUGCAAACGUUGCUCGGAAUUAUUGGGCGUAAAGCGCGUGUAGGCGGCUUGUUAAGUUGGUUGUGAAAACCCAUGGCUCAACCAUGGAAGGGCGUCCAAAACUGGCAAGCUAGAGUCCCGACGAGGAUGGCGGAAUUCCCAGUGUAGAGGUGAAAUUCGUAGAUAUUGGGAGGAACACCGGUGGCGAAGGCGGCCAUCUGGGAGGGCACUGACGCUGAGACGCGAAAGCGUGGGGAGCAAACAGGAUUAGAAACCCCCGUAGUCC